rnacentral:lncRNA from 1 species
UUAAAAUUGUAAAUAAAAAAACUCCGGCGCAAAUGGGUUAAUGUAAUCGGAGUGGUAUUGGAAAAAAAGUGGUGGGUCUUUACAAAAUUGGAACUUAAGACGGAAUUUUAUACAACUUAUGCAGGUCUGAAUUUUGUUGGUGCAUAAAGGUUGUUUAUUUUAUAACUACAGAUCAAGUUCCCGGUAAUAAUAUUAUUCUUCGCGUAGCCGCAACUAAAGCUUCAACAGGAUCAGGACAAGAUUUUAUGAGAUGCACUUGCAAAAAGUCAUGUGGGACAAAUCGCUGCCUAUAUGCAUUUGUGGAAGAUAUCAAACGACGAAACGUCAACGGAUUUAUUACUACGAUUAUAAACAAUGCAAUUUUCUAUAUGGGUAAAUUGAAAAAUAAAAAAUGUACCAAAAAUCAAUAUUAUAAGCAAUUCAAAACUCAAUAGUCAAAUGAACUACGUCAUGAAGUGACUUCUUAAUAAAAGAUCAAAUCUGAGACUGAUAAUUCAUUUCUACAAAUCAAAAUAAAGGAUGUUUAGAGCAAUAUUAUGAUGCCAAUAAUUGCCUGUUCUUGAAGCUAAAAAAAAAACAAGAAAAGAUGACGAAAAACAAUCCAACAAAUUGCAUUCAUGCUGACAAUAUUUAAAUAACUUUUAAUUCAAGUUUAAUUAAUAACACAAUUUGAAAUUACUGAAAUGUACUGUAAUUAAAUAUAUGUUAUAUAAUAUACUUAUCAUUUUUUUCAUCCUGUUAAACCCAGGAACAAGGAGAUAUUUGUUUAA